rnacentral:rRNA from 1 species
GGAGAGUCUGACCGAGCACGCCGCGUGAGUGAAGAAGGUUUUCGGAUCGUAAAGCUCUGUUGUAAGUCAAGAACGUGUGUGAGAGUGGAAAGUUCACACAGUGACGGUAGCUUACCAGAAAGGGACGGCUAACUACGUGCCAGCAGCCGCGGUAAUACGUAGGUCCCGAGCGUUGUCCGGAUUUAUUGGGCGUAAAGGGAGCGCAGGCGGUCAGGAAAGUCUGGAGUAAAAGGCUAUGGCUCAACCAUAGUGUGCUCUGGAAACUGUCUGACUUGAGUGCAGAAGGGGAGAGUGGAAUUCCAUGUGUAGCGGUGAAAUGCGUAGAUAUAUGGAGGAACACCAGUGGCGAAAGCGGCUCUCUGGUCUGUCACUGACGCUGAGGCUCGAAAGCGUGGGUAGCGAACAGGAUUAGAUACC